rnacentral:snRNA from 1 species
AUCGCUUCUUGGCCUUUUGGCUAAGAUCAAGUGCAGUCUGUGAUCCAUUUGGGGUUAAUUUUUGUGGGAGGGGUGUCAUGUCUGUGUCUAGAUUUUUUUUCUUUUUUGCAUACAGAUACCCAGU